rnacentral:sRNA from 1 species
UUUGAAACCAAUGCCAGAUCUGUUUUAUUUGCAGGUGACAAUAUGUACAGUUGUGAAAAAUGCAAAAAGUUGAGAAAUGGAGUGAAGUUUUGUAAAGUACAAAAGUUUCCUGAGAUUUUAUGCAUCCACCUUAAAAGAUUCAGACAUGAACUAAUGUUUUCCACCAAAAUCAGUACCCAUGUUUCAUUUCCGCUAGAAGGCUUGGAUCUUCAGCCAUUUCUUGCUAAGGAUAGUCCAGCUCAAAUUGUGACAUAUGAUCUUCUGUCAGUCAUUUGCCAUCAUGGAACUGCAAGUAGUAAGUAUAUAGGUUUAACAAUUGUUCCUAGAUUAAAAAAAAAUUAAAAUAAGCCUGGGCGUGGUGGCUCAUACCUGUAAUACCAGCC